rnacentral:rRNA from 1 species
UACAGAGGGGGCAAGCGUUGUUCGGAAUUACUGGGCGUAAAGGGCGCGUAGGCGGCCUUCUAAGUCGAACGUGAAAUCCCCGGGCUCAACCCGGGAACUGCGUCCGAUACUGGAAGGCUUGAAUCCGGGAGAGGGAUGUGGAAUUCCAGGUGUAGCGGUGAAAUGCGUAGAUAUCUGGAGGAACACCGGUGGCGAAGGCGACAUCCUGGACCGGUACUGACGCUGAGGCGCGAAAGCUAGGGGAGCAAACGGG